GGCUAUGAAAGUAUCUCCUCUUCUUUCCCUGAAGAGCGCAUUGUACGUUCUAUGAUUAUGGCUAUGGAGAUAGGCGACCAACAAUUCAGAGACCUUACGUUAGAGUUUAAAGGGCAUGAAAUCAUGCUAAAAAUAGAGAGAGAAUCAUCAUCCUCUCUUUCUCUCAUUUUCCCUCCCUUUCCUUUCUUUCCAUCAUCAACAUUAUCAAGCCGGACAAAAGAUAAGCUUCAUUGACAUUCUAUUCAGAGUUGAUGAAAUCUGCAAGAAAUACGAUAAGUACGACAUCGACAAGCAGCGCGAGCUUAAUGCCUAUGGCGAUGAUGCUUUCGCUCAACUCUAUGCCUCUGUCAAGUCUGACAUCGAAGCCGCUCUCCAUAAAUCUGAGUUGGCUGCAAUGGAGAAGAACAGGGCUUCUGGUGCGGCAAUGAACGCAGAGGUUCGUAGGACUAAGGCUCGAUUGAUGGAUGAACUUCCUAAGCUGAAAAAAAUUGGCUCACAAGAAGGUCAAAGGGCUUUCAAAAGAAGAAAUAGGAAUCCGUCCUGAUCUGGUUCUUGCAUUGCCAGAGAGGAUACAAGCCAUACCAGAUGGGACCACAGUAGCAGCCAAACAAACUGGAGGAUGGGCAGGAUCAACACCUAAUAAAAAUGUCAAGUUUGACUCAUCAGAUGAACACCUUCAAGAUGAUUUUUUCCAACAAAGUGAAGAAUCAAGUCAAUUUAGACACAAGUAUGAAAUGCGGAAUUUAAAACAGGCAUGUAAGAUUCCUGAUUAAUUUGGUUGCAUCAAUAUCUAUUCUAUAGUUUAAAGAUUUUAGGCUAGUUAUUUUAUUAGGAUUCCGCACUUUAUGACAUUCUCCUCUGCCUUCUCAUUUUCGAAGGAUCAAGGUCUUGAUUUUAUAUUGGAAGGAUUGGACACGCUGAAAGAUUUGGCUCAUGAUAUGAAUGAGGAAUUGGAUAGGCAAGUUCCUUUAAUUGAUGAAAUUGAUACAAAGGCGGAUAAGGCAACUUCAGAUCUUAGAAAUACAAAUGUUAGGCUAAAGAAAACAAUUGUUGAGAUAAGGUUCAGUUGAAACUUCUGCAUUGACAUUAUUCUGCUUUGUGUAAUCCUGGGAAUUGCGUCCUAUAUCUACAAUAUAUUGAGAUGAAUGGGUUUCAUGGGCUUGUUCUGCUGUUUGAUCAUAAUGUUGUCUGGUAUAAUGACUUUCAUCAUCUGUGGGCCUUUUCUGAAUUCUUUCAGUAUCUUAAGCACUUGUUCAUUUAUUAUACUGCCCUCAAAAAAUUCUUUCACAGUUGACUUUUUGUAUCAAACUUGAUAAUAAUUAUUGGAGCUUUAAACAUAUGGUAAAAAGAUCAAUUUAUCAUAAUAUGUUAUGUUACACUCUUUUGCCUGUCAAUGACUUCUAGCAUUUAUUAUUGCAUAUCAUACAAAUAUUAUUUUGCAUAUCUUAAUUUGGGGCUUUCAUGUUUCAGCAUCAGAAUUUAUUGUUUAUAAAUAUUCAACUAUGAGUCCAUGCUUCUAUUAUAAGAGAAUUAGCCACAGACUAUUCUUGAUAAACGGAAUACUACUUCGGUUGAUGCAUUGCCCAUCUCCCUUGAAACCUAUCCACCUUGGCUGCCUUAUAUACAUUUUGUGUUGUACAGUAUGACUUUUAAGAAUAGGCUUCUGUAAAGUGUUCAUCAUUGUAAAUAUUUACCACUGAAGGCUAACUCAUUAAGCUCAAGAAGUCCGCUGAUUGGAUCAAAUGUGUUAGAAGUGUAGAAGCUUUCUUGUAACUGGUUUUGGUGGUAGUAGUUCAAAUCACUGCUGGGUAGUGUGUGUCUAGGUAGAAGAUCCUCAUCUCUAUUGCCAUUGUCUAGCUUCUUGUUGGAUGGAUGGAGAUUUUCACACCGAGCUUCCUCAUUAGGUUUCCUCUUCAGGGAGCUAUGAUUGUCAAAAGAAGCAACAGUUAUUGGAGAAUUCAACAUAUCGCUACCAUCUUCAUAGACCAAAGUAAAACUGUUGUCCUUGUUGCUCCCUUGGUUGCUAAUACAUGAAAUGGUUUCAAUUGGAGGUAAAGUUUGCCCAGCAAGUAUGGAAGCUAAUAGUCUACAACCAUUGUUUAAACAAUCAGUGAUCAUGUCAUUGUUAUAGUUGGUGUAUGUACGACAUGCUUCCUCCAUAUUUUGUAAGUACCUAACCAGAUCUUUGUUCUGCUCAUCUUGAACUUCAUUUGUUUUCUUUGGCGCAUUGCCUUUUUUUUGAAUUCGGCAUAGUACCCAGUCAUCUAACUGUAAAAACAGGAGAUUUUUUUUUUAACUGGAUUUAGUGAGAUUUUUCAAUGAAAAUGAAAUAAGUAAUAUUGUGGUGAUACAGCAUAGAUGCAGGAGUGAAGAAGUGAGAAGAGUAAGGUAUCUAUUAUCAUUCUUAUUCCAUCAAAUUGAAGUAUUGAACUGCAGAUUUAUCGUGCCACCUUGACAUAUAUUUAUUUCGCUCAUCAUUGGAUUAUUAGUACUUAGUGAUUUAAACAAAUAAAGCAGGAAGUUCAGGGUAUUGCAGCAGGUUUGUUUGCUUGAAGGGAUUUCUGCUGUGGAUUUCAUAUCAUAUCAUAUCAUAUUAGCUGCCUAUGAUUCCUUCACUUUGUUGUCCUAUGAUCAUGUUCCUGCUGGAUUUCUUUCCCUCUUAAGGUACAAACUUGCUUUCAGACUAGUUAUACUCAAAUAAUUAGUGUUGAAAUUCUAAAUCAACUUAUUUAUGUCAACAUAAAACCCUAAAUUAAAAUUCCUGAUACUAAAGAAACAUUAUUAAUUAGAUUUUAUCAGAAAAUCAUUGAUAUUUAACUUACUCUCAUUGACCCUUUUGACCUGGAGGGUUUCACCGUUGCAUCAAGCAGUCUAUACUCAUUCAUGAUCCAGUCUGUCUUGGUUCCUUUAGGAGGUCGACCCAAGUAAAAAACUAGAGCUUUUCUCACUCCAAUGUUAUUUGAUCCAGAAGAAGUGAGAAUAGGUCUAUCAGUACCAGUGGCCUUCCAGUAACCUGCCCCCGCAGCCCUGUUUGGCCUUGUUCCGUUUGGAUACUUCCUGUCUCUUGGAGUAAAGAAAUACCAUUCACCUUCUCCAAACAAAGCCUUCUCUGUAGUUUCAACAAAACAAGAUUAUAAAUUAAGUGCAGCCAGGAUAUAACCCAGGAAAAGAAAAGGAAUUAACAGGAUGCAGGAGACAGACUAGGCAGCUCCCAUGGAUUGUACUUGUACAGAUCGAUUUCUGCAAUAAUGGAUGCAGGAAGUGGACGUGAAGCUACUUUGUUUUUCAAGUAAUGAACGAUGAGCUCUUCGUCGGAUGGAUGAAACCUGAAUCCUGGAGGAAGUUGGAAAUUUGAACAGCCUUCCCUUUCCAUUGAUAUUUCUCUGUGCCUCUUCUGCUGGCAAUGAUUAGGAGAUUUGGGAGUCAACAAAUUGCGAUAUUAUCAAUCGAAAAUGUAGUUGUAAGAGUGAAGUGUCCAGGGAUUAUAUGGGGCAAUUUCAUGCAGAUAUGGACAGCAUUUAAGAUAAUAGAAAGGAAAGAGCCAACCAAAUUUACGAGUAUGCUUAAAGAAACGGACUGAAAGCAACAGGUUUUGGCUUUUACCUUAUGGAAUUGUUAUUUCGUAUUCCUUUGCGAG
rnacentral:misc_RNA from 1 species